rnacentral:rRNA from 1 species
AUUGAACGCUGGCGGCAGGCCUAACACAUGCAAGUCGAGCGGGGUUUUCGGACCUAGCGGCGGACGGGUGAGUAAUGCGUAGGAAGCUACCCGAUAGAGGGGGAUACCAGUUGGAAACGACUGUUAAUACCGCAUAAUGUCUACGGACCAAAGGGUGGGACCUUCGGGCCACAUGCUAUCGGAUGCGCCUACGUGGGAUUAGCUAGUUGGUGAGGUAAUGGCUCACCAAGGCGACGAUCCCUAGCUGGUUUGAGAGGAUGAUCAGCCACACUGGAACUGAGACACGGUCCAGACUCCUACGGGAGGCAGCAGUGGGGAAUAUUAGACAAUGGGCGCAAGCCUGAUCCAGCCAUGCCGCGUGUGUGAAGAAGGCCUUCGGGUUGUAAAGCACUUUCAGUAGGGAGGAAGGGUUAAGUGUUAAUAGUACUUAACUUUGACGUUACCUACAGAAGAAGCACCGGCUAACUCUGUGCCAGCCGCCGCGGUAACAC